rnacentral:rRNA from 1 species
GAGUUUGAUCAUGGCUCAGAUUGAACGCUGGCGGCAUGCCUUACACACGCAAGUCGAACGGCAGCAUGAUCUAGCUUGCUAGAUUGAUGGCGAGUGGCGAACGGGUGAGUAAUACAUCGGAACGUGCCCUGUAGUGGGGAUAACUAGUCGAAAGAUUAGCUAAUACCGCAUACGACCUGAGGGUGAAAGUGGGGGACCGCAAGGCCUCAUGCUAUAGGAGCGGCCGAUGUCUGAUUAGCUAGUUGGUGGGGUAAAGGCCCGACCAAGGCGACGAUCAGUAGCUGGUCUGAGAGGACGAUCAGCCACACUGGGACUGAGACACGGCCCAGACUCCUACGGGAGGCAGCAGUGGGGAAUUUUGGACAAUGGGCGAAAGCCUGAUCCAGCAAUGCCGCGUGUGUGAAGAAGGCCUUC